CCCCUCAGAGAGCAGCCCUGUCCUGGCCCCUCCACCUCCAUCCAGCCUGCCCGCUCCAGUGCAGUUUGUCUUACAACCAUGGAGUCCCUACCGGGGGUGCUCCCUUCGGUCGGUCCCAAGAGCAAUGAAGUCUCAUUUCUGCCCCUUGCUGUGUAAGUUACCCAGGUGCUGGAGGCAGUGCAUAAGGUUCUCUGUGCAUGAUACAGUGACACACGACUGGCUCACAUGGGUCAGACACAACUCACCUGAGGGUCCCAGCACAGAGCCAGAGAUGCUCAACAGGCACGAUUCUGCAGUCCCUUUCCUCCUCAAUUAGCUGCAGGCCAUGUGAAGAUGGACAUGCAGGAUGAAGGCCAUGUGGCUACAGAGACAGAGAUUGGAAUGAUGUGUUUACGAGGCCAGGACCACUGCAAUUGCUGGCCAUCAGCGGAAGCCAAGAGAAGGCAGGAAGGAUUUUCCCCAGGAGUCUUCAGAGAGCCUGGUCCUGCUGAUGCCUUGAUUUCAGACUCUGGCUCCCAGAACUGUGAGAGAAUAAACUCCUGUUGUUUCAGGUCACCCAGUUUGUGGCAAUUUGUUACAGCAGCCCCUGGACUAACACAGGCCUGGAAACACCCAUGAACACCCACCACGAACUUGGCCUGAAUGUUAGGAAACACAUUGCAACGUUACUUCUCUGCUUGUUUUAUAAUGAUUAUUUCCAGUCUCUUGUUCAGUCUCUUGUAGAUAAAUUUGAGACCCUUCAAUGAGAACUGGGACUUGUCAGCUCCAGCUUUUUCCUGCCCUUUCUCUGCCACACCUGACUGGUCAAAUUGACAAGGUCCCCC
rnacentral:lncRNA from 1 species